CACAUAUCCCAAGAGAGUCCAAGGCUCUGCUGAGUUCAGUUCUUUAUUGAGAAAGGAGAAAUAUGAGGAGUCAUGUCCUCUGCCUGUCCAUAUGUGGCAGUGGAGUGAUGUGCUGUACAUAAUAAGUUCAUAGAUCAUAGAAUCAUGGCAGGGGCUGGAAGGAACCUCAAAAAAAUCAUCUAAUUCCAGUCUGCCUGCCAUGGGCAUGGAUGCCACCCGCUAGAUCAAGUUGCCCAGGGCCUCAUUCAACCUGGCCUUAAACACCUCCAGAGAUGGGGCAUCCACAGCUUCUCUGGGAAACCUGUUGCAGUACCUCACCACCCACUGAGUGAAGAAAAUUCCUCUUUAUAUCAUAGCUAAAUCUCCCCUCUUUUAGUUUAAAACCAUUGCCCCUUGUCCUGUCAUUAUCUACCUGAGCAAAAUGUUGCUGUCCAUCUUUUUCAUAAACCCUCUUUAAGUAUUGAAAAGCUGCAGUGAUGUCUCCCUGGAGCCAUCAGGAAGACAGACUUCUCUUCAGGCUGAACAUCCCCAGUUCUCCCAUUGAGCCUUUCUUCAUAGCUUACAUGACAGCCUACUCGUACACUCCAUGUCUAUGAAAUUGAACCAGUGCCUGCAGCAUCACCAAGGGAAGCAUGUAGAUCCUGUAGGGCCUUUAUAAGUUGAAACUGUUGCCAAGGUUCAGGAUUGCUUUGUGGCUGUUUAGUAAUAAUGGCAUGUUUCACUACAUGAUUGUCCAAGGUGGUUCUGCAUCUUCCUGAAUGCAUCAGCUCUGCUCCUCUCUGAGUUUCUUGUGUGCAACCAGUAUGACCCUCUCAAGUUAGAAACCUAUCUGGUGGACUAAGUUAUCUUGCUGCAAACAGUAAGCUGUGGAUAACACUGGCCAGGCUGGUAAAACACUAGCUUGGUGGUAACAUUAGUAUCUGUGGAACUUCUAUGUGAAGAAGAAAAAUAGAUUAAAAUGCAGCUAGGAAUUGUCUUCUGCAAUCUACUUUUUGAACAUAUACAACUUUGUAAAGAUGUGUAUUGUAGCAGCCAAAUUUUUGCAUUGACUUUUGUUGUUAAAAUCCAGAUUAUGAGUUGUUCUUGAAUGUGUGGUUUCUCCUGACAUUCAUAAGAGUCAUUUUUGUUGAACUAAUGCAGUAAAAAAACGAGUGGUGAAAAGAUCAUGCUGCUAUGCUCUCACCUCAGAGGAAUGCUACAAAAAAAAAAAAAAAAAAAAAAAAAAAAAAAGUCCUGCUUCUUGCAACACACCUUCCAUAAGGUAAAUAAAUGAAGGAGGAGUACUCCGUAUGUGUUAUGGUACAGUCUAGUCUAACUGCUCUUAGGGACAAAUUCUUUACUGUCUUUAGCACCAAUAAAAGUAAUUCUCUAAUUCCCAGCUCUUUCUUGGCCUCUUUUGAAAGCUGAACAAGGUAACAUGUGAGAGGUUUUCUAGUCUUCAGAAGCAGUUGCUAUAACUCUGCAUCAGUUCUACAUCCGUACCAAUGCCUGUGCAAUUUUAUGCUUGCAGUGAUAUACUGCAGUGGAGUUUCUCAGAUUGCUCUGUAACCUCCCUUGCAGACCACACUUCUUAUGGUUAUACUCCUUUACCGUAAAGGACCCUUGCAAUAAGAAUUUCCCCAUUGUCUUCUAUGAUAAGAUCACGCAGAGACCUCGUUAAGGUUCUUUGCUGCUCCUCUGCUUCCUGGAAAUUGCUCUAACAACAUCAUCUUUGCCUCACAGGAGGCAGGUAUACAUAGAGCCUUCUGUUUUCUAAUGCAUCCAGCAUACUUUUAGUUUAUCUUAGUAUCUCCACGUAUCUAUUCUUCAUAUCAGUUUUCCCCUUUUUAUUUCCAAUUUCUUUCCAGCUGUAUGGUGUGAUUUGUUCUAUGUUAAGGUAGAUUUUUUUUAGUAAAUUUUCAAGUCCUCACUUUAGUUCAUACUUAACCCCUACUCACUCAUCCUUCUCGUGGAGCUUAUUCUCCCACUAGCACCCAGAGAAGUGAGCUGCAAAUAUUCCACAAUAGAUUAGGUCCCACUUACAGAAGUACAUCUGCCAAAACCUACAUCAGUGGGAGUUAGACAUCUGACUGACUGCACGUUAGAGAGCUAUGAGACCAAGUUCUGCUGACUUUUAGUGAGACUUACAUGAGAUUUUCAGAUGCAAACAGGUAUCCACUGAUAUUUAAAAUAGUACCUCUCUUGACUUCAUGGCAAUUCAGUUGCUGAAUGUGACAGGCUGUUAUUGAAACUCUCAGGGAAUGUCUUUCUUUCUGAACCUCUACACACUUCAGAGCCUCAGAAAACCAGUCUGGAGGUACUCUUGAAAAUGGAAAGUAGGUUGCCAACACUGAGGCACUUUUGAAAAUGUCAGUGAAAACUUGUAUUUUCCCUUAGCCUGCAUCAGUUCAAUUUCUCGCAUAAUUCUAAAGACAACAAUUUUAAUGUUUAGUAUUCUUCCUCCCUGAUCCAACUAGGAAAUAGCAGGAUCACCCUGGGGCCUUUCCAGGACCAAGUCUCCCAUUCUUCUUUCCUCUCUUUGUUGAAGAUGAAGAUGAGCUAAUUUUGUUUGCUAAAUCAGCAUUUGCUGUGUAUGUGACUUUUGCAUGUGAGGUUCAGCUGAGUAAUGUAACCAGAUUAUUACAUCAUUACAGACUUUCUUGAAUAAAUUUGAGAAUAGCCUGCAGGCAGCUUCUGCAAAAAGAGUGGAAGAAAGAUUUGAGAUAAUGUUCUUUGUCAUGGCAGGUGUUAAUGAGGAUUUCACCAGGGUGCAGUUGAUCUAUUCCUUAUUUAUUAUGCAGUGAUAGAAGUUAAACUGUUCAUGUAGAAUAAUCUCUCGAGAGGCAUCUGUGUGGAUUUGGAGAUAAACAUUUACAGGGCUGUUCAGUCUUUUCUAAGAAAUGUAGAUAGCCCUAUUCUUUCAGGAUGUGUUGAAAAAUAUCUCCUGGUCAUUUUUGCAGCGUCGCAAAUAACUAAUGCUGAUGACUGUGUUACUACUACCGCUGAAUGUGUGGAGCAAUGUAGACUGUGUAAAAGAGUCACUCAGACAAAGCUCUGAUAGCCUCAUUGGUAAAGUUUAAAGGCUUUAUCAAAAGUUCUAAGUUUGCAGGUUAGUGAAAUGAUGAUACAAAAUUGCAUAU